rnacentral:rRNA from 1 species
AUUGAACGCUGGCGGCAGGCCUAACACAUGCAAGUCGAACGGUAACGGGAAGAAGCUUGCUUCUUUGCUGACGAGUGGCGGACGGGUGAGUAAUGUCUGGGAAACUGCCUGAUGGAGGGGGAUAACUACUGGAAACGGUAGCUAAUACCGCAUAACGUCGCAAGACCAAAGAGGGGGACCUUCGGGCCUCUUGCCAUCGGAUGUGCCCAGAUGGGAUUAGCUAGUAGGUGGGGUAACGGCUCACCUAGGCGACGAUCCCUAGCUGGUCUGAGAGGAUGACCAGCCACACUGGAACUGAGACACGGUCCAGACUCCUACGGGAGGCAGCAGUGGGGAAUAUUGCACAAUGGGCGCAAGCCUGAUGCAGCCAUGCCGCGUGUAUGAAGAAGGCCUUCGGGUUGUAAAGUACUUUCAGCGGGGAGGAAGGGAGUAAAGUUAAUACCUUGGCUCAUUGACGUUACCCGCAGAAGAAGCACCGGCUAACUCCGUG